rnacentral:rRNA from 1 species
ACUCCUACGGGAGGCAGCAGUGGGGAAUAUUGCACAAUGGGCGCAAGCCUGAUGCAGCCAUGCCGCGUGUAUGAAGAAGGCCUUCGGUUGUAAAGUACUUUCAGCAGUGAGGAAGGUGGAUGCGUUAAUAGCGUAUUCAUUUGACGUUAGCUGCAGAAGAAGCACCGGCUAACUCCGUGCCAGCAGCCGCGGUAAUACGGAGGGUGCGAGCGUUAAUCGGAAUUACUGGGCGUAAAGCGCAUGCAGGUGGUUUGUUAAGUCAGAUGUGAAAGCCCGGGGCUCAACCUCGGAAUUGCAUUUGAAACUGGCAGACUAGAGUACUGUAGAGGGGGUAGAA